AGACAGCGUGUGUACCAGGAAAGGAGAAUGGCAGAAAUGCAAGUUGUGACUACUUGGAGUGGUAAGCUUGCUGCAAGUUGUAAAUAUAGCUUCAAACAAUGCUUCUGCAAAUUAUUCUAGCCAUGUACGUGACAAAAAAAUGCUUCUCCAGCAAAUUUCCACACCAAUUUGUUUGUCUAUCGUUUAGAUUUUCUACUUCUGAAAAUAAAAAAUUUAGUAACAAGCUAGCCUUCUCCAUUAACCACUUUGUGUGUGCUGCUAUGCUAUAUGAACAGGUUUUGAUUUGGCCACUUCCCUCCCUGAUGUGCGCGUGCAGGUGCUCUGUGUGCUUCCUUCUUCCCUUCCUGGGACGCCGCUCUCCCGCUGCUCUAACGCCAUGGAUUGACAAAUGUAAGUAUUUAUCUUUGUCUCCCCUUACCCUCUGUUCUUGUGCUUCCUCUGGGCUUAAUUUGCUUAGAAAUUAUUUCUUCAGAGAGGACAAGAGGUGAUGUCUUGUAAUCCAACUUGUCUUCUUGAACAAAUGAAGCACAAUCCUUUGCAACACUUGAAGUUUCAGACUGAAUGAAUUUCAUUGGCCACCUGUAUUUAGAAACUUUACCCUAUGUAGUAUCAUGUACCUUUAAGGGCUUCUUUUGGCGGAUUCUUCCAGAAUCGCCCCUCUCCUCAGCUACUCCCAGAAUCUUUGACCCACAUUAUAGUAAAACUUGGUAGUCAAAGUUGUGUUUUUAGACUUCUAGUAUCUGAAAUGACAUGUUUUGGGGAACAAGUGGGAGCCCUUUUAGUCUGCUCCCUGUCAGUAUAGUUUUUUUAAUUUGCCAUACUUGCUGCUGUCCUCUUGAGUUCUAAUUUUGUCUUCUAAAGCAAUGCAUUUUGCCCUUAUAAAGGUCAUCUUGUUAUAGUUAGGUGUUGUUGUGCUGCUUUCGAUCAGUAACACGAAUGAUAAACUAGAUGCAACUUGGUUCAGGGUUAGUGGUCAUUUGUAUGGAUUACAGAGUAUAGCUAUUGUAGGAAUAUUUGCUUCAAUUUGGCCUUGGUAUUAGAGUACAACUAUCUUGAAUCUACAGAAUAGAACUCUUGGAGUACAACUUGCAAGACAUUCCAAGCUAAUUAGGCUCUAACUAGCUAGGAUGGUCAAACAAAUGAGGGUUGGAGAUUCUAUGAGAAGCUGGGGAGGGGGCCAAUUCUCCCAGGAUCGGCCAAAAGAACUGGCCUUUAGUUUUGGAGAAGCCCAUUGUGCCUGUCCUUAAUGAGCAACAAACUUUCCAAAAGUGAUAAUGGCAAUUUUUGUGAAAUCAGUAGUGCAGUUUGCAUCUUUGUAACAGUACAUGUUAUAAGACCAACAUUAACACUAAAAGUGGGCUGUGUAGUGCCUGGAAGUUUAACUGAUUAUGCGGACCUGCUUUCAUUCGAUUGUGCCUCAAAUUUCACAAUCAUUAUUGUUUUUUAUUUUAGAUGCCUAGAAUUUUGGCAAGCCAAGUUUCGCUGUUAAAUGCCGACUUGUUAGUUUCCGUAUUGGUUGCUUUUUCAAAGGGAUGAGCUAAUCACAUUUAAUUGUGUAAGUACCACUCAACCUCUUGAGGAUCGAUUGGAUGAUGUGAUUAUAUAGCAGAUCUGUUGGUACUAGACGAGAUGUUGUGUAGGAAGGAAAAUAUAAUCAUCAUCUCUCCUUUCUGGGUUUUCUUAAAUAUAACACCAAGAUCUGAUUUGCAGUUGGACGUACUGGACUGGCACAAGAGCACAUUUUGGUUCCAUUUUUACAGGUUAAAAACUGGAGCAUCACGUUUAUGACGAAUACACAUCCCGUACAGUACAUGCUUAUUAUUUCUAUGCAGCAUUAUUUGGUUCAAGGAAAAAACCUACAGUACAUGCUUAUUAUUUUUAUGUAGCAUUUUUUGGUUCAAGCCCAAAACCUACAGUAGUAUCUUAAUUUGUUCAAUUUCUACUAGAAAAGAGACAGGUUAACUUUGUGUAGUUUAUGAAAUUUCUAGAGGCUUGGCUCCAUAGAAAUGUCAGUCUGUUAGUUUGCUUGCUACCAAUGUGGUAUCAGCUGGUUUUGUGUUGUUCAAUGCCGACUUAUCAGUCUUGGCACUAGUUUCUUUUUCAAAGGGAGGAGCUAAUCACAUUUGAUUGUAUAAGUAUCAGUCAAUCUCUUGAGACUGGAUUGGAUGAUGUAACCAUAUAGAAGAUCUGAUGGUACUAGAUGCGUUGGAAAGUAUAAUCAUCCUCUUUCCUUUCUUGGUUUUCUUAGGGUUACUAGAUGCUUUUCCUUAGUCUUUUGCUGCAUCAACCCUCCACUCCCAUUAUUGAGCAUAUUGGUGGUCGACUAUGAAUGCAUUGGGAUGUUAAUUGCCAUGUCCGGUAGCCACUAUUGCAAGUUGUACAACACGUCCUUGACGGUGUCGAGACAGCAAAAGUGACAAAGCACUCACUAUAGUUUUAUGUAUUGUUUCAAGCAUUAUCAAUUACUCCUUUCGUACCAAAAUAAUUCUUUAUCAGUUCUCAAGCUGAUAUUUUUUCACAAUGAUGGUGGUUUCACACCAACAUCAGCUACUAUGAUACACUUCUUUACCUAUAUCAGCAGUUAAUAUAUAACCAACAAAUGAAAAUGUUUUCAGAAGGUGCAUAUUUAACAUGUGGCUUUUCACUCACCUGCCAUGAUAGACUUUCAAAUUUGAAACCUUUAAUUCUAUCUUUACUACGUAAAUGGUAUACUGUUGAUAACUUGCAAUUCGAAAAAAAAACUACCUUCAAAAUCACUUUUUUAUGUCACUGACUAGUGACAGCCCAAGCUUGCACUGUUGUGGGUUAAUUCCACAAGUUGUUUCUGCAAUGUGGUAAUGAACUGACAGAUUGCCUUUUAUUCAUUCUCAAGUCAGAUUUCUAGUUUUAUUUCAUUUGAGAUUCCUUCCUGGGUUAGGUUAAUUUCAUAUACUGCUGCUUCUCCCAUGUGAUGCUGAACUGGGCAUUGACUUGUUUUAUUCUGAAUUUUAGGUAAGUAAAGAAUUCACCCAUGCUGAUGCUUGUUCAGUUGAGACAAUCUGCUCCCUGGCUGCUACUGGAACGAGAUGUGUGAUGGUUCAUCUCACUCAGCUCUUCAAGACAGCGUGUGUACAAGGGAAGGAGAAGGGCAGAAAUGCAAGGGUGACUGCUUGGAGUGGUAAGCUUGCUGCAAGUUAUAACUAUUGCUUCAAACAAUGCUUGUGCAAAUUAUUCUAGCCAUAUAUGUGACAAAAAAUGCUUCUCCAGCAAAUUUCCACACCAAUCUUAGAUUUUCUACUUCUGAAAAUUAAAAAAAUUAGUGACAAGCUGGCCUUCUCCAUUAACCACUUUUUGUGUGCUGCAAUAUGAACAUGUUUCGAUUUGGCUGCUCCCCCUACCUUAUGCGCGUAGGUGCUUUGUGUGCUUCCUUCUUCACUUCCCGGGACGCCGCUCUCCCGCUUCUCUGACGCAAUAGACAGACAAAUGUAAGUAUUUCUCUUGUCUCCACUUGCCCUUUGUUAGUGUCCUUUCUCUGGCAUUAAUUUGCCCAGAAAUUAUUUCUUAAGAGAGAACAAGAGGAGAUGUCCUGCCAUCCAACUUGUCUUCUUAAACAAAUGAAGCACAAUCCUUUGCAGCACCUGAAAUUUCAGACUGAAUGAAUUACGUUGGCCACCUGUAUUUAGAAACUUUACCCCAUGGAGUAGCAUGUACCUUUAGUUUCCUAGAAGCCCAUUGUGCCUGUCCUUAAUUAGCAACUCACUUUCCAAAAGUGCUGAUGACAAUUUUUGUGAAAUCAGUUGUGCAGUUUGCAUCCUUAUAACAAUACAUGCUAUAAGAUCAAAGUUAACACUAAAAGUGUUCUCUAUAGUGCCUAGAAGUUUAACUGAUUAUGUGAAUCUGCUUUCAUUUGAUUGUGCCUUUCACAAUCAUUAUUUAUUUAUUUUAGACAUUUGAAAAUGAAGGAAGAGAUUCUAUGAUUGUAUGUUGCUUCUGCUGUAUGUUGAUCUACCUGCCUUUCCUUUUGUUAUACAUGCAGCCAAAAUUUCUGGAGCAGGACACUCGCUUGACAUUUUGUUAUACAUGCAACUAAGCCGGUCAGUUAGCGGCUCUUAGAUCUAUCCGCCACGGUCACCAUGAUGAUGACGACCUCCCCUCCACAUGCUUGUGCUCGGUCGACGACGCGACCGUCUCUUCCUCACCUCACCUCGCCUUAGGUUGGCGGCGUCCAGAUCAAGUGGAUUCGUCAAUGGCCUCGACAGAUGCAGUCUGAUUGCUCUGUCACGCCGUCAUGAAGGUACCCCCACUCCUCUUUGAUUUGCUCCUCUCCCCUUCCCUUCCCCUUUCUUCUCUUUUACAAUUUGUUUUCUUCCUCACGCAUGCGUCUCGGACAGGCUCCUUCUCCACAACCACACACGGGAAGCCAUGGAAGCUCCAUGUGCUUGUUCUCCAUGGAGGUC
rnacentral:lncRNA from 1 species